rnacentral:sRNA from 1 species
GUACAAAUUACAUUUUCCCUGUUUGUUGUAGUACUUUGUUGUGGUUGAAAGUUAAUUCUUAAUUGAUUUCGUUAGUUUAAUAAGUAAUUUAGUUAGCUUAUUUCUCAACUAAAUUGAAAGCAACUAAAAAAAAUUCGCUUCAAAACAAAAGCGUUUUUGCUGGCUUUUUGUACCACUACUGUAACUUUAGGCGCAUUUUUAUUUCCUACAUUAACUCAAAAAGGUUCUAGUGCUGACAUUAAUACUUUAGCACUACACAAUAAAAGUUUAGCUAGAGCCCAUAAUGACAGCUACUUGGUCAAUCUUGCUAACGCAUCUACUUUUAGUGAGGAAGAGUUAGCUGUAAUAGCGAAAAAUAAGGAUUGAAAGCACAACUUUGAACAAUUUGAAAAGGACUUUGUCAAACAAGCU